UACAGAGGUCUCAAGCGUUGUUCGGAUUCAUUGGGCGUAAAGGGUGCGUAGGCGGCCCGUUAAGUCAGUGGUGAAAGCCUCCAGCUCAACUGGAGAACUGCCAUUGAUACUGGCGGGCUUGAGUACAGACGAGGUUGGCGGAAUUGAUUGUGUAGCGGUGAAAUGCAUAGAUACAAUCAAGAACACCGAUUGCGUAGGCAGCUAACUAGGCUGUAACUGACGCUGAGGCACGAAAGCGUGGGGAGCGAACAGGG
rnacentral:rRNA from 1 species